GAGAAGCUUGCUUCUCUGAUGUUAGCGGCGGACGGGUGAGUAACACGUGGGUCACCUACCUAUAAGACUGGGAUAACUCCGGGAAACCGGGGCUAAUACCGGAUAAUAUUUUGAACCGCAUGGUUCAAUAGUGAAAGACGGUUUCGGCUGUCACUUAUAGAUGGACCCGCGCCGUAUUAGCUAGUUGGUAAGGUAACGGCUUACCAAGGCGACGAUACGUAGCCGACCUGAGAGGGUGAUCGGCCACACUGGAACUGAGACACGGUCCAGACUCCUACGGGAGGCAGCAGUAGGGAAUCUUCCGCAAUGGGCGAAAGCCUGACGGAGCAAUGCCGCGUGAGUGAUGAAGGUCUUCGGAUCGUAAAACUCUGUUGUUAGGGAAGAACAAAUUUGUUAGUAACUGAACAAGUCUUGACGGUACCUAACCAGAAAGCCACGGCUAACUACGUGCCAGCAGCCGCGGUAAUACGUAGGUGGCAAGCGUUAUCCGGAAUUAUUGGGCGUAAAGCGCGCGUAGGCGGUUUCUUAAGUCUGAUGUGAAAGCCCACGGCUCAACCGUGGAGGGUCAUUGGAAACUGGGAAACUUGAGUGCAGAAGAGGAGAGUGGAAUUCCAUGUGUAGCGGUGAAAUGCGCAGAGAUAUGGAGGA
rnacentral:rRNA from 1 species